rnacentral:ncRNA from 1 species
CAGAAUGAGCAAGUAAGGAACAAAUAAAGAAGAGCAGGAUGAUUCGAAUUUAUUACAGCACCUGGUUCAUAGCGACGUUGCUUUUGAUCCUUCGAUGUCGGCUCUUCCUAUCAUACUGAAGCAAAAUUCAGUAAGCGUCGGAUUGUUCACCCACUGGAACAAGACCUGGGGUUUAGACCGUCGUGAGACAGGUUAGUUUUACCCUACUGAUGAAAUGUUGUUGCAAUAGUAAUUGAACUUAGUACGAGAGGAACCGUUCAUUCGGAUGAUUGGUAUUUGGGCCCGCCUGAGUAGGCAAUGGCCCGAAGCUAUCAUCCGUUGGAUUAUGGCUGAACGCCUCCAAGUCAGAACCCAUGCUAAAACGCGGCGAUUACCGCCUUCUCCGAUUUCUAGUUGAAUACGAAUAGAUCUUCGGAUCCUGAAUCAUACUACAAGGGGUCGAUCUUGCAGAGUGGAAAGACUUUGUGAGGCUCCUCCUAAUGUUAGUUUCAAAUAUUGGAAGAGAUAGAUCCAUUGCAGACGACUUUUAAUUGAACGGGGGUAUUGUAAGCAAUAGAGCAGCCUUGUUGCUACGAUCUGCUGAGAUUAAGCCCAUUGUUCUGUAGAUUU